rnacentral:lncRNA from 1 species
AUUUUGUACCCUUCUAGCUUAUGAUUUGGUUAUGUUAUUGAGUCAAACGUGUGCUUUUAAUCCCUUUUCUGUUUAUCAUUUAGUUCAUUGGGCCUUAGGUAGCAAUGGUGUCUUUGGAUAAGAAAAGAUGCAAAAUGGUGCAAAAACGAGCAGACUGGGUUAGCAACUCAUUUCGGCCUUAACAUCUUUCUCCGAACUUGGAUUGGCCCAAAUAAUAUGUAGUUGGAAAGAUGAGAGUCUGAACUUCAAGAUGGACUACUCAAAUGCAUCAGAUUAUGAAGUUGAGCCCAAUUCGUGAGCCCAUAUACACACCAGACAUGUUGAGCAAUUUAGGGAGCAAUUAAGGGAGGUAUGUCAGCUACUCAAGUGCAGAGGAGAGCCAUGUGACUCACCACAGCUUUCCUUGACUUUAGACCAGACAUGUUGAGCAAUUUAGGGAGCAAUUAAGGGAGGUGUGUCAGCUACUCAAGUGCAAAGGAGCCUUGACUUUAGACCAGACAUGUUGAGCAAUUUAGGGAGCAAUUAAGGGAGGUGUGUCAGCUACUCAAGUGCAGAGGAAUCACUCCAUUCACCAAUAAUUCACUCCAGCCAUCCUAUAUCACUUCAUUCAGCCCAAAAUCACCAGAGGAACAACUACAACAAGCCUUCCUUCCAUUUCCUACGAAUUUGUUCUUUUUCUGCCAUCACCAACCACCCAAACUCAUCCCAAAUCACCUCUUUAGUUGCCAUACUCUAGACAUGAGAAAGUUCUUGGAGUAGCAUUAGACGUGGAGAAGCACCUGGAGAAGCCUUGGAAACCACAAGCAACUUCAGAAUUGGGUUUCUCUACUCUUAUUGCAUUCAAUAUGUUUUCUCAUUUUUGCUUAAGUUUCAUUUCCAUUAUGAGUAGCUAAAUUCAUAACUAGGGCUAUGAUGUAACCUAACAUGAAUAUUCUGGGUUUAUAAGUUGAAGUUUUGAGUUUCAAGUUUGAUUCAUGAUUCAUAUUCCUAUUCUUUAUGCUUAUCAGUUAAUAUGCUUGUUUGGAUGAUUGAUCACCAUUAGAACUUGUAUAUUAGCUACCUUGGUUUGAAUCAAGAGUAGACACCAUGCUUUGAUUUGAAUUGAACUAUGAAUAAGAAAAGUAUGUAUGGACAUUCGACAACAGGGAUUAGAUACAUGCUUGGUUGUUUAAAUUGUUCUUCUAUGCUUAAUGGGUUCCUAAUGCCUAAUUUAGAUUAGACAACAAAUGAUCAAGUUAGGGAAUUAGGAGCACAGGGUUAGGACCAGACACCAUGGCCUAAUCAUACUUUAGCUAGAAUCAAUCUUUGAAUUCGAAUGAGACUUGUCACUUGACUCCUUAAAACCCAGAAUUGAAUUGUUAUGGUGAAUCGAAUGCCCUAGUCUCCCAAUCUGUUUUCCAGCCUACAAAAGUACUCUUUGUUACAUUUGUUCACUUUGCUUUUGUUUGAAAUUUCGUUUUGUCUCAUUUGUUCAACAAUUACAAUCACUCUUGCUUUAAAUUCUAUUUUAGACUUAACCUCCUACUUUCUUGAAUUUGGUAAUCUAAGUACAUAACUAAUUUUAACUUCUCAGUCCUCGUGGGUACGACCUCGUACUUGUCUUGCUAUACUACUAAUUGGCCCGUACAAUUGCGAGUUAACAUUUUAACAACAUCGACCUGAGCCGCAAUCUCCCAAGAUUCAGGAGACCUUUAGUCAACCUGAUCCGCAAUCCUCGCUCCCAUAGUCCAGGCAUCCCCGAAACUCGUGGUGCAACUGUCAAGCGCACUAACUGUACCGAAGGCAACAAUUUUAUUCCGAAGGCAACAUCUUUAUAUCUUGGUACCUAAGGUGGCUUAAGAAAAUAUAAAAUUUUUGAAAGAUCUGAUGAAUAACUGAAUUUCUGUUAGAACUCUGCUGCAUUUAUCUGAUAGUUAGCUAGAAUUUCCCUUUUCUAUAUCCUUAAAGGAUAUCUACUCUGCAGCAUAUAAAUUAAAAUAUUUAAAAGCACAUAUCAAAUCAUGAAAGCACUAAUCUUCGAAUAAAACUUAUUGAAGACCAAAUAAUGAAAUUCAAUUGCAUAAAAUUGUUUAUAAAACAAAAGUCCACUCACUCUUGGUCCGAGUUAGCUGGACCUCUUGAAGGUCCCUCCUGCGGGUCUGCCUGACCUCGGGUGCCUGAUUAAACCAUCAUGAAUAUUUAAUUAAUAAAACUGCUCGGUAUAAGUAUUUAAUUAAAACCCUAACCCCCGGCUCCUAGAAGUGUGUGCACUAACUUUAAAG